UUUCGGGAAAAUGUUAAGAAAAAUU
rnacentral:piRNA from 1 species